GAAACCCUGCGGUCCACGUGAUGCUCCACGCGUCUUGGGCCAACAUUUCUGUGAUCGGGAGCUGGUGUCUUAGAGGGGAUGCGGUAGCCUGCGUAAAGGCAAGGCAACACCUUCUAUCCAAGCACCCACCUGCCUAAGGCAGGUUCAUAGACAAAUGGAUGGCACACGGUUCUCGCGGGGUUUUC
rnacentral:other from 1 species